GGCCUACCAUGCAGUCGAGCGGAUGACAGGAGCUUGCUCCUGGAUUCAGCGGCGGACGGGUGAGUAAUGCCUAGGAAUCUGCCUGGUAGUGGGGGACAACGUUUCGAAAGGAACGCUAAUACCGCAUACGUCCUACGGGAGAAAGCAGGGGACCUUCGGGCCUUGCGCUAUCAGAUGAGCCUAGGUCGGAUUAGCUAGUUGGUGAGGUAAUGGCUCACCAAGGCGACGAUCCGUAACUGGUCUGAGAGGAUGAUCAGUCACACUGGAACUGAGACACGGUCCAGACUCCUACGGGAGGCAGCAGUGGGGAAUAUUGGACAAUGGGCGAAAGCCUGAUCCASCCRUGCCGCGUGUGUGAARAAGGUCUUCGGAUUGUAAAGCACUUUAAGUUGGGAGGAAGGGCAGUAAGUUAAUACCUUGCUGUUUUGACGUUACCGACAGAAUAAGCACCGGCUAACUCUGUGCCAGCA
rnacentral:rRNA from 1 species